rnacentral:rRNA from 1 species
AACCUCCGCAAUGUGAGAAAUCGCGACGGGGGGAUCCCAAGUGCCAUUCUUAACGGGAUGGCUUUUCAUUAGUGUAAAGAGCUUUUGGAAUAAGGGCUGGGCAAGACCGGUGCCAGCCGCCGCGGUAACACCGGCAGCUCUAGUGGUAGCAGUUUUUAUUGGGCCUAAAGCGUCCGUAGCCGGUUUAAUAAGUCUCUGGUGAAAUCCUGUAGCUUAACUGUGGGAAUUGCUGGAGAUACUAUUAGACUUGAGACCGGGAGAGGUUAGAGGUACUCCCAGGGUAGAGGUGAAAUUCUGUAAUCCUGGGAGGACCGCCUGUUGCGAAGGCGUCUAACUGGAACGGUUCUGACGGUGAGGGACGAAAGUUAGGGGCGCGAACCGGAUUAGAUACCCGGGUAGUCCUAACCGUAAACGAUGCGGACUUGGUGUUGGGGUGGUUUUGAGCUGCUCCAGUGCCGAAGGGAAGCUGUUAAGUCCGCCGCCUGGGAAGUACGGUCGCAAGACUAAAACUUAAAGGAAUU